rnacentral:misc_RNA from 1 species
GAAAUGCGAUAAGUAAUGUGAAUUGCAGAAUUAAGUGAAUCAUCGAAUCUUUGAACGCACCUUGCGCUCCUUGGUAUUCUUUGGAGCAUGCCUGUUUGAGUAUCAUGAAAUCUUCAAAGUAAAUCUUUUGUUAACUCAAUUGGUUUCUACUUUGGUAUUGGAGGUCUUUGCAGCUUCACACCUGCUCCUCUUUGUUCAUUAGCUGGAUCUCAGUGUUAUGCUUGGUUCCACUCGGCGUGAUAAGUUAUCUAUCGCUGAGGACACUGUAAAAGGUGGCCAAGGUAAAUGCAGAUGAACCGCUUCUAAUAGUCCAUUGACUUGGACAAUACUUUUAUGAUCUGAUCUCAAAUCAGGUAGGACUACCCGCUGAACUUAAGC